rfam:Aedes aegypti strain Liverpool cont1.20038, whole genome shotgun sequence.
GCCGCUGGAGCCGUGAGCCGUGCCUUUUGGAGAUGGCAACAGAAAUACUGGAAACCCAAGCGGCUGGGAAUUGCCCCGUUCUUCCAGAUCAUCGUCGGCGGAAUGGUCUUGUGGUGUCAUCAUUGUCGGCGGAAGCACCACAGGAACUCCAA